rnacentral:rRNA from 1 species
GAUUUUAGUUUUGAAUUUAAUGGUAGUAACCUGAAAAAAUGUAGUGUUAUCGACAAGGUUAGGAAACUUUGGUAAGGACCGAGAGGGGGUUUUGAAGAGCGGAAAUGGUUAUAGUAUGGUUUUAGGGUACCUUUUGCAUAAUGGUUCAACAAGAAAAAAUCAUAGUAUAUGUAUGUUGUCCAGAAGUUGAAAGAGCUACCAGACAACCAGCUUCAGGCUACAAAGGUCAUAAUCGUACUAUGUCUUGAGAUUGGCUGGUAGAAGUGAAAUGUUUUUCGAAUUCGACGAUAUCUGGUUGGCCCAGAAAUAAAUUAAGUUUAGGGUUGUUGAAGUUAAUAAUUAUAUAAUAAUUACAGUACAGUACAGCACUUGAUGUUCUCUGUAGAGCAGUGAAUAGAUUAAAACGACAGAAAGAAUAAACGUUUUUGCUAUCUAAGGGUAGGUCUCGUAGCGGUCAUCACUUAGGAGCGGAUCCGCAGCGCAGUUGACAGCGUGUCUUUUAAAAAUUAGUUUAAGUUUUUAGGUCUUAUGAUGUAUGGGUCGGAGUGGUUGAACAGUGAAUCUAUUCCCAUAAUGUUGGGAUUAGUAGCUGUGGAUAAGUCUUAUUUUGGUAAUAUAAUGGUAGAUUAAAAAGUGGUAAAUAAACUAACUAAAGGAACUCGGCAAAAUUUUUCCCUCCCGACUGUUUAUCAAAAACAUAGCGUCUAGAAAAAAGGUUGGAGGUGUUGUCUGCCCGGUGGAAUCCCUAAACGGCGGCCUUAGCGUGAGGGUCUUAAGGUAGCAUGUAGUGUUCUGGUUAAUUGUCAGGUGGUAUGAAUGGGAGCACGAGGGGGGAACUGUCUCUAGUUGGUUAAAGUGAAAUUACCAUGGAGGUGAAAAGGCCUCUAUAAAAUAAAUAGACGAUAAGACCCCAUGAAAUUUUAGUCUUUUUCAGGAAUUAUUUAAUAAGAAAUUGGAGUACAAGGCUUUGGUUGGGGCAACUCUGGAGCGCACAAGCCUCCAGGAAUUUUUAUAAACUAACAAGUGUAGAACCUCCAUGUGUGGUUAUCGGAAAAAAUUACUCUGGGGAUAACAGCGUUAUCUUCCUGAAAAGAUCAUAUUGAUGGGAAGGUUUACGACCUCGAUGUUGAAUGUGGCUAUCCUUAGGCUUGUAGGGGGCUUAGAGGGUUGGACUGUUCGUCCAUUCAAAAGCCAACCUGAUUUGAGUUCAGAACGGCGUGAGCUAGUUCGGUUUCUAUCUUUUAAUCUAUUAAUAAUGCCGAAUAUUGUACGCAAGGACUUAGAAGGCCGGCAUAUUGGCUGAUAAAAUGUGGUGUAAGGUAAAGGGAAAUAUUUUUAAAUUUACUAUCUAAUAAAUGUA